GACGAACGCUGGCGGCGCGCUUAACACAUGCAAGUCGAACGGAAAGGCCUGCUUUCCCUUGUGGAUUGCGGGUACUCGAGUGGCGAACGGGUGAGUAACACGUGAGUGAUCUGCCCCCAACUUGGGUAUAAGCCUGGGAAACUGGGUCUAAUUCCCGAUAGGACUGCAGGGUGGUGCCUGUGGUGGAAAACGAUUUUCUAGUGGUUGGGGAUGAGCUCGCGGCCUAUCAGCUUGUUGGUGGGGUAAUGGCCUACCAAGGCGGCGACGGGUAGCCGGCCUGAGAGGGUGGGCGGCCACAUUGGGACUGAGAUACGGCCCAGACUCCUACGGGAGGCAGCAGUGGGGAAUAUUGCACGAUGGGCGGAAGCCUGAUGCAGCGACGCCGCGUGGGGGAUGACGGCCUUCGGGUUGUAAACUCCUUUCGACCGCGAGGAAGCCACCUGGUUGGAAGGGUGGUGACGGUAGUGGUAGAAGAAGCACCGGCUAACUACGUG
rnacentral:rRNA from 1 species